CUCGAGUCCAGCUGUCUGUAGGCAGGAGAGAAUGGGCCAAGGAUGGGAUAGCGAUGGAAUGAGAAGGGAAGGAGGGAGACCGCUGCCUAAGGAGGACAAGAGCAGGAGAGCCCUGCUGCUGGUGGGCUCACGUCGGCCACUGGAGCAAUGUGGAGGAGCUCUGCCAAGGGCAUGUCAAGGUGAGAGGAAGCCGGCCCUGUGCCUGAUACAGAAGGAGAAAAACGGCCUGCUCCCUUCUGCUGAACUCUGAACACCUUUGUGCUCCUGCAAAGAGAGAGAUUAGGAAAUAACACACAGGAGGUAACCGAGCGUGCUAGGGCUAGGCCCAGUACUGCCCCUUUGCUUGCGGAUCUGCUUUAAUCCCCACGACAGGAUGAAAUCGGUUAUAACCAUUCCUAUUUUCACCUUACAGAUGGAGACCCUGAUAAUUAGAGGCAAAGCAGCCUGCUCCAGGGCCCAAGCUCCGCAACAGGAUGCUGAAGGAGGAGGGAGGGGUAAAAAAAGUUCUGCAGUGCUCCGUGGUUGUUCUAGGUGGAAAAAGUAGGAUUCGAGAUCAAGAAAAAUCAACUCUGUCUCCCUCCUCCCAUCGGCACCUUUUCCGACUUGAGGCCAGGCAGUAUCUCCUACCGGAGGCCUCAUUUUCCAACAUGGGGGGAAGCUGAGGACAGACCGGGAGGGCUGGGGGCGGUUGGAGCAGUCAGUGUCAGGAACUGGGAGAGAAGGGACCACGGGGAGAGGGUCUUCCAGACUCCAGUGCACUGCCCCCACCUUGGACGGCUACUCCAACCUCUGGAGCUGGUGAACCAGGGCUUGGAAUGGACCAGAGGGUAACAUGAGCUGGGAAAUCUCCAGGGAGCCAGCAGGGGCAGAGCCACACAGGAAAGGAGGGACCCUGCCACGGCAACAGAGCCAUUGAAUAGCCCAGGGACAGGAGCAGCCAUGGGCUUGGGGGCUGUGACAGGCAGGCAGGGAUGGAAACUUGCAAAGCAAAGACCCCAGCGUCACUUCUCAGAGUCUGACCCAAUGAGCUGAGGCAGGGAGUUUUUCUAAAACAAGUUAGCGUUUAGAACUCAAAGAUGAUGGCGCAGAUGGAGUGGCAGCCACUUCUAAGGAGAUCCCCAGCCUCCUCUCUGGUUUGUCCGCCUGACAUGUGCCUGGCAAUUUGGAAGCCACAACAUCGAAGGUGACUGGUCUGCUGUGUGCACCGGGUUGGGGGAGGCAGCCAGCUGGGCUCUUAGCUCACUUGUUCU
rnacentral:lncRNA from 1 species